GGUCGAGACGAAAUAUAGUACUUUUGAAUAGAAAAUGCCCACAUAGGUAGAGUUUAUGGGAGAAGUAAAGUAUGCUUCUAGACCAACUACUAGUUGGCUAUGACAAAUUUUAUUUUCUAUUUCAUGUUUAAUGUUUAGAGUUCAACAAUGUACAGUUAAAUUUCUCCAAUGAGUAGUUCGAAUUUAUCACCAUAUUUUUAAGAUGGCCCAGAAAGUUUUCGAACGUAAAUGAGCUUAUCUGUAGAGUCUGUAGAGAACCAUAUUGAAUGGUUUGUUUGCUUAAAUGUGUUAAGCAAUCAAAAUUAAAAGUGAGCAUUGCGUUCAUAUAGAAAGACAGAACUUGACUUACAAAAUUAUCCAGCAAGCUGGAUGCAGGAGAAUUUUGCGUGACACAAUAUUUUUUGCGUAGAAGAAGUCUUAUCGCUAAGCUUAGCAGUAAAAAAUGAUUAUACAAGCCGGUAUCUAAAAUGCCUUUCAAUGCUAUUGGUCCAGUAUAUAAUAAAAAGUGGCUUUAAAUCGGUCGAGAUUAUCUAGAGAUCUAACUUCUCUAUUGAGAUAUUCCCUAGAUAAAAACUUUUUAAGAGACAAGUUUAUUAUUAAGGGAAGCUAUGGAGUCCCGUUUCAAAUUGAUGACCUUUUUCUCUUACUAAAGUCCCUAGGACCGUUUUUAUGACGUAAAGACAAACUACGUGCAUGUAGUCUAAGGGAAACUGAUUUACCAUAUUCAUUGGCAUGUUAUCAAGAACAUGUUUGCCUUGGAUGUUGUGGUUUUCAGGUUGAAUACGAUUUCGGAAGCUAUCAUUGGUUCGUGUUGCAGGAAUAAAAACCCGAACGAUAUUUCACAGCCAAUAUAAAAGCGCGGGCUGGCGCAUCGCAUAUGAUUGCUCUCAUAGAUAUUCGGAAACACAUAUUUUGAAACAUCAUCCCUUCCUUUAUCAAUUCUCCUUACUCGUAGACACAUUCUU